rnacentral:lncRNA from 1 species
UUGAUUCGUAGGUGAGGGUGGUCAUGAAAUCAAGAACUCGAUGGUAAUCACAAGAACAUGAAGGAACACGGGGGAUUUAGACAGGUUUGGGCCUCCAAAGAGUAAUACCCUACGUCCUGUAUGCGUGGAUUGUAUUGCUCGGUAUGAGAGUCGAUGUCCUCAGGGGGUGUCCUUGGCCACCUUAUAUAGUCUGACGACCAUGGGUUGCAAGUUGGUUUGAAUCUAAUCUACUCGCUCUUUACAUGGAAAGCAAUCUAAGUUGGGCUACAAUACGCGUCCCACGAAGUCCGGGUAGAUGUGGAUUGUCUAGUUACCUCGACGUGUACUCCAAGUAACUUUGAGUCCUCAGCUCGCACAUCCUGGUCGACUAUGCCCACUUGUUAGGUCCGACAUGCAUCGUAGCCGGUGGGGACCCAUAGGGUACCCAUAUCCCUCACUGAUAACCACCCAUACCUCUACGAUUCGUACGUAGCCAUCGACAAUCAUGAGCAUCUUGUUGAUCUUGUUCAGUAUUAGCAACAUAUAUAUCCCAAUUGUCCUCGACGCGCUCAUCCUUCCUGUUAUCUCC